UAAUCAGCAGUUAAAGGAGAAGGACCACUCUGAGGAACAGAUUAUUGACCCAAAUGGGGCUACAAGAGGAUCUGGGAGCAGCUGGAGCAGCAGCCAGGCAUUCCCAAG